AGCGAACGCUGGCGGCAGGCUUAACACAUGCAAGUCGAGCGGGCAUCUUCGGAUGUCAGCGGCAGACGGGUGAGUAACACGUGGGAACGUACCCUUCGGUUCGGAGCAACUCUGGGAAACUGGAGCUAAUACCGGAUACGCCCUUAUGGGGAAAGGUUUACUGCCGAAGGAUCGGCCCGCGUCUGAUUAGCUAGUUGGUGGGGUAACGGCCUACCAAGGCGACGAUCAGUAGCUGGUCUGAGAGGAUGAUCAGCCACACUGGGACUGAGACACGGCCCAGACUCCUACGGGAGGCAGCAGUGGGGAAUAUUGGACAAUGGGCGCAAGCCUGAUCCAGCCAUGCCGCGUGAGUGAUGAAGGCCUUAGGGUUGUAAAGCUCUUUUGUCCGGGACGAUAAUGACGGUACCGGAAGAAUAAGCCCCGGCUAACUUCGU
rnacentral:rRNA from 1 species